rnacentral:pre_miRNA from 1 species
CCCACACCCAUGUGUAUAGGAUCCCAAAGGAUCACCAUUAAAUUUGGCACAGAUCUCUAAAAAAGUUAUCACAUAAAGUUGCCACAUGGGUGUGGGACUUGACUUUUCUAGAGAUUUGUGCCAAAUUUAAUGGUGAUCCUUUGGGGUCCUACACAGAUGGGUGUGAG